rnacentral:rRNA from 1 species
GACGAACGCUGUCGGCGGGCUUAACACAUGCAAGUCGAACGGAAAGGCCCUGCUUUUGUGGGGUGCUCGAGUGGCGAACGGGUGAGUAACACGUGAGUAACCUGCCCUUGACUUUGGGAUGACUUCAGGAAACUGGGGCUAAUACCGGAUAGGAGCUCCUGCUGCAUGGUGGGGGUUGGAAAGUUUCGGCGGUUGGGGAUGGACUCGCGGCUUAUCAGCUUGUUGGUGGGGUAGUGGCUUACCAAGGCUUUGACGGGUAGCCGGCCUGAGAGGGUGACCGGCCACAUUGGGACUGAGAUACGGCCCAGACUCCUACGGGAGGCAGCAGUGGGGAAUAUUGCACAAUGGGCGGAAGCCUGAUGCAGCAACGCCGCGUGCGGGAUGACGGCCUUCGGGUUGUAAACCGCUUUCGCCUGUGACGAAGCGUGAGUGACGGUAAUGGGUAAAGAAGCACCGGCUAACUACGUGCCAGCAGCCGCGGUGAUACGUAGGGUGCGAGCGUUGUCCGGAUUUAUUGGGCGUAAAGGGCUCGUAGGUGGUUGAUCGCGUCGGAAGUGUAAUCUUGGGGCUUAACCCUGAGCGUGCUUUCGAUACGGGUUGACUUGAGGAAGGUAGGGGAGAAUGGAAUUCCUGGUGGAGCGGUGGAAUGCGCAGAUAUCAGGAGGAACACCAGUGGCGAAGGCGGUUCUCUGGGCCUUUCCUGACGCUGAGGAGCGAAAGCGUGGGGAGCGAACAGGCUUAGAUACCCUGGUAGUCCACGCUGUAAACGGUGGGUACUAGGUGUGGGGUCCAUUCCACGGGUUCCGUGCCGUAGCUAACGCUUUAAGUACCCCGCCUGGGGAGUACGGCCGCAAGGCUAAAACUCAAAGGAAUUGACGGGGCCCCGCACAAGCGGCGGAGCAUGCGGAUUAAUUCGAUGCAACGCGUAGAACCUUACCUGGGUUUGACAUGGGUCGGGAGUGCUCAGAGAUGGGUGUGCCUCUUUUGGGGUCGGUUCACAGGUGGUGCAUGGCUGUCGUCAGCUCGUGUCGUGAGAUGUUGGGUUAAGUCCCGCAACGAGCGCAACCCUUGUUCACUGUUGCCAGCACGUUAUGGUGGGGACUCAGUGGAGACCGCCGGGGUCAACUCGGAGGAAGGUGGGGAUGACGUCAAGUCAUCAUGCCCCUUAUGUCCAGGGCUUCACGCAUGCUACAAUGGCUGGUACAGAGAGUGGCGAGCCUGUGAGGGUGAGCGAAUCUCGGAAAGCCGGUCUCAGUUCGGAUUGGGGUCUGCAACUCGACCUCAUGAAGUCGGAGUCGCUAGUAAUCGCAGAUCAGCAACGCUGCGGUGAAUACGUUCCCGGG